rnacentral:rRNA from 1 species
GACGAACGCUGGCGGCGUGCUUAACACAUGCAAGUCGAACGCAGUGGCGAACGGGUGAGUAACGCGUAAUCAACCUGCCCUUCAGAGGGGGACAACAGUUGGAAACGACUGCUAAUACCGCAUACUGAAGGAGGAGAUUGCGUCUGAUUAGCUAGUUGGAGGGGUAACGGCCCACCAAGGCGAUGAUCAGUAGUCGGUCUGAGGGGAGGAACUGGCAGAUGUGGACUUAGACACGGCCCAGACUCCCACGGGAAGGCGCCGUGGGGAAUCUUCCGCCAUGGAAGGAAGUCUGACGGAGCAACGGCGCGUGAGUGAUGACGGCCUUUGGGUUGUAAAGCUCUUUUAGUCGGGACACGGUACCGAAAUAGAAAGCCACGGCUAACUACGUGCCAGCAGCCGCGGUAAUUC